AUUAAACGCUGGCGGCAUGCCUUACACAUGCAAGUCGAACGGCAGCGACGGGGGCAACCUUGGUGGCGAGUGGCGAACGGGUGAGUAAAGCAUCGGAACGUGCCCUGGAGUGGGGGGAUAACGUAGCGAAAGUUACGCUAAUACCGCAUAUUCUGUGAGCAGGAAAGCAGGGGGAUCGCAAGACCUUGCGCUCUGGGAGCGGCCGAUGUCGGAUUAGCUAGUUGGUGGGGUAAAGGCCUACCAAGGCGACGAUCCGUAGCUGGUCUGAGAGGACGACCAGCCACACUGGAACUGAGACACGGUCCAGACUCCUACGGGAGGCAGCAGUGGGGAAUUUUGGACAAUGGGCGCAAGCCUGAUCCAGCCAUGCCGCGUGAGUGAAGAAGGCCUUCGGUUGUAAGGACUCUUUCUAGCCGGAAAGAAAACGACACGGGUUAAUAACCUAGUGUGGA
rnacentral:rRNA from 1 species